AGUCCAUGGUGAGGGCAUUCUUGGAAUAAGUCUUUGAAUCUCUCAAUAAGUUUGAAGAAUGAUUCAUAUGGCUUUUGUCUAAAUUGAAGAAUGUCAUUUAGGAUUUU
rfam:Cephalotus follicularis DNA, scaffold: scaffold2692, isolate: St1.